rnacentral:rRNA from 1 species
UACGGGAGGCAGCAGUGGGGAAUAUUGCACAAUGGGCGCAAGCCUGAUGCAGCCAUGCCGCGUGUAUGAAAAAGGCCUUCGGGUUGUAAAGUACUUUCAGUCGUGAGGAAGGUGUUAAGGUUAAUAACCUUAGCAAUUGACGUUAGCGACAGAAGAAGCACCGGCUAACUCCGUGCCAGCAGCCGCGGUAAUACGGAGGGUGCGAGCGUUAAUCGGAAUUACUGGGCGUAAAGGGCACGCAGGCGGUUAAUUAAGUUGGAUGUGAAAUCCCCGGGCUUAACCUGGGAAUGGCAUUCAAGACUGGUUAGCUAGAGUCUUGUAGAGGGGGUAGAAUUCCGAUGUGUAGCGGUGAAAUGCGUAGAGAUGUGGAGGAAUACCGGUGGCGAAGGCGGCCCCUGGACAAAGACUGACGCUCAUGUGCGAAGCGUGGGGAGCGAAACAGGGAUUAGAUACC